CUGAGGUAACACCUCAUGCUUUUACCCCAUCCUCCAGACAACAGGAUUUGGUCUCCACGGUCAACGUGGUACACUCGCAGACAACCCAACCGGUAUACAAUGGUUUGACCAUUUCCUAUGCAAAUGAGAAAUAUGAACCAGUUUUGUUAAAAAGUGAAAGUUCCCACCAAGUGGUACCUUCUUUGUACAGUAAUGAUGAGUUGUUCCAAACGGCCAAUUUGGAGAUUAACCAGGCCCAUCCCCCAAAAGGAAGGCAUGUAUUUGCUACACCUGUUUUAUCAAUUGAUGAACCAUUAAAUACACUAAUAAAUAAGCUUAUACAUUCCGAUGAAAUUUUAACCUCCACCAAAAGUUCUGUUACUGGUAAGGUAUUUGCUGGUAUUCCAACAGUUGCUUCUGAUACAUUUGUAUCUACUGAUCAUUCUGUUCCUAUAGGAAAUGGGCAUGUUGCCAUUACAGCUGUUUCUCCCAACAGAGAUGGUUCUGUAACCUCAACAAAGUUGCUGUUUCCUUCUAAGGCAACUUCUGAGCUGAGUCAUAGUGCCAAAUCUGGUGCCGGUUUAGUGGGUGGUGGUGAAGAUGGUGACACUGAU
rnacentral:sRNA from 1 species